rnacentral:rRNA from 1 species
AGUGAACGCUGGCGGUAGGCCUAACACAUGCAAGUCGAACGGCAGCACAGGAGAGCUUGCUCUCUAGGUGACGAGUGGCGGACGGGUGAGGAAUACAUCGGAAUCUGCCCAGUCGUGGGGGAUAACGUAGGGAAACUUACGCUAAUACCGCAUACGACCUUCGGGUGAAAGAGGGGGAUCGCAAGACCUCUCGCGAUUGGAUGAGCCGAUGUCGGAUUAGCUAGUUAGCGGGGUAAUGGCCCACCUAGGCGACGAUCCGUAGCUGGUCUGAGAGGAUGAUCAGCCACACUGGAACUGAGACACGGUCCAGACUCCUACGGGAGGCAGCAGUGGGGAAUAUUGGACAAUGGGCGCAAGCCUGAUCCAGCCAUACCGCGUGGGUGAAGAAGGCCUUCGGGUUGUAAAGCCCUUUUGUUGGGAAAGAAAUCUUUCAGGCUAAUACCCUGGGAGGAUGACGGUACCCAAAGAAUAAGCACCGGCUAACUUCGUG